AACGAACGCUGGCGGCAUGCCUAACACAUGCAAGUCGAACGAGACCUUCGGGUCUAGUGGCGCACGGGUGCGUAACGCGUGGGAACCUGCCCUUAGGUUCGGAAUAACUCCCCGAAAGGGGUGCUAAUACCGGAUCAUGUCUUCGGACCAAAGAUUUAUCGCCUUUGGAUGGGCCCGCGUUGGAUUAGCUAGUUGGUAGGGUAAAAGCAUACCAAGGCGACGAUCCAUAGCUGGUCUGAGAGGAUGAUCAGCCACACUGAGACUGAGACACGGCCCAGACUCCUACGGGAGGCAGCAGUGGGGAAUAUUGGACCAUGGGCGAAAGCCUGAUCCAGCAAUGCCGCGUGAGUGAUGAAGGCCUUAGGGUUGUAAAGCGCUUUUACCCGGGAUGAUAAUGACAGUACCGGGAGAAUAAGCUCCGGCUAACUCCGUG
rnacentral:rRNA from 1 species